GGAGUUUGGGCCUGAUCCAAGGCUCACUAAAGUCAAUAGGAGUCCUUCCAUUGAAGUCAAUGGGAUUUGGAUCAGGCCCUGAAAGGCC
rnacentral:pre_miRNA from 1 species